UCCCUUGUGGUCCAGUGGUUAGGACUCUGAGCUUCCAAUGCAGAGGGCAUGGGUUCAAUCCCCAGUCAGGGAA
rfam:Ovis aries breed Texel chromosome 14, whole genome shotgun sequence.